rnacentral:rRNA from 1 species
AGUGAACGCUGGCGGUGGGCCUAACACAUGCAAGUCGAACGGCAGCACAGUAAGAGCUUGCUCUUACGGGUGGCGAGUGGCGGACGGGUGAGGAAUACAUCGGAAUCUACUUUUUCGUGGGGGAUAACGUAGGGAAACUUACGCUAAUACCGCAUACGACCUACGGGUGAAAGCAGGGGAUCUUCGGACCUUGCGCGAUUGAAUGAGCCGAUGUCGGAUUAGCUAGUUGGCGGGGUAAAGGCCCACCAAGGCGACGAUCCGUAGCUGGUCUGAGAGGAUGAUCAGCCACACUGGAACUGAGACACGGUCCAGACUCCUACGGGAGGCAGCAGUGGGGAAUAUUGGACAAUGGGCGCAAGCCUGAUCCAGCCAUACCGCGUGGGUGAAGAAGGCCUUCGGGUUGUAAAGCCCUUUUGUCGGGAAAGAAAAGCAGCAGGUUAAUACCCCGCUGUUCUGACGGUACCCAAAGAAUAAGCACCGGCUAACUUCGUG